UACGUAGGGGCCUAGCGUUGUCCGGAAUUAUUGGGCGUAAAGAGCUCGUAGGCGGUUCGGCAAGUCGGAUGUGAAAUCUCCACGCUUAACGUGGAGGGGCCAUUCGAAACUGCUGUGACUCGAGUCCGGUAGGGGAGUGUGGAAUUCCCGGUGUAGCGGUGAAAUGCGCAGAUAUCGGGAAGAACACCCGUGGCGAAGGCGGCUCUCUGGGACGGUACUGACGCUGAGACACGAAAGCGUGGGGAGCAAACAGG
rnacentral:rRNA from 1 species